rnacentral:lncRNA from 1 species
AGGAGAGAAACUCAUGUAUUUAUUAUUCUGUUCUACUGCAUACGUCAUCUGAUGUUGUCUUUAGAUUGGAGAUUAGUAUAUUGUGAUGUAAAUGGACCAAGCAGCUGUGUAUUAGCUUACGGUGGCUCCUCUGAUGUUCACUUCUUCAUAGCAGGCUGGAUAGUUAGCUGGCACCAAACUGAAUUCUUACACAUUCAGUUUCUCUAUAUAUAGUUCAAAUAAGGCUAUGUUUAGCCAUUUAGUGCCUGCCUACUUUACAUAGCCAUGAAACAGCUAACCAUAUAUAAGACAGACUCCGGGUAUGGAAGACCCCAAGCUCUCCUGCCCUUGGAGCCCUCUGGGCCUGAGACUGCCUCUUUGCUGCUGAGCAACAUCACCAAAACACAUGAGCCACCUUUCCAGUUUCUCCUUCUGCCUCCGAAGAGAGAGAGAGUGAUAGAGUACAGUGGGGAGAGGCAGUGAGAGAAGGAGAGAGAAACUCAAGUCGACUCUACACUGAGCUUGGAUCCCAACACGGGGCUCGAUCUCAUAACCAUGAGAUCACCACCGGAGCUGAAACGAAGAGUUGGCUGUUAACCAAUCGUGCCACCCAGCUGCCCCAAAUAAGUUGGUGAG